AUUGAACGCUGACGGCAUGCCUUACACAUGCAAGUCGAACGGCAGCGUACCUUCGGGUGCCGGCGAGUGGCGAACGGGUGAGUAAUGUAUCGGAACGUACCUUUCAGUGGGGGAUAACGGAGGGAAAGUUAUGCCAAUACCGCAUAUUCUGUGUGCAGGAAAGCAGGGGAUCGCACGACCUUUCUCUUAUUUAGCGGCCCAGAUCAGAUUAGCUAGUUGGUGAGUUAAUGGCUCACCAAGGCGACGAUCUGUAGGGGGUCUGAGAGGAUGAUCCGCCACACUGGAACUGAGACACGGUCCAGACUCCUACGGGAGGCAGCAGUGGGGAAUUGUGGACAAUGGGGACAACCCUGAUCCAGCCAUGCCGCGUGAGUGAAGAAGGCCUUCGGGUUGUAAAGCUCUUUCGUCCGGGAAGAAAUCGCAUCAGCUAAUACCUGGUGUGGAUGACGGUACCGGAAUAAGAAGCACCGGCUAACUACGUGCCAGCCGCCGCAGUAAGAC
rnacentral:rRNA from 1 species